GACAGGGCGGGAUGGCCGGUGGGCAGGCGUGCCCGAGGAGAGUGGCGGGAUCCUCUGCCCCAUCGUGCUCACCGCAUUGGAUCUAGCUCCUUCCCGAGUCAUUCCUAUGAGAUGGGGGAGUGGUGAGGACAUCCGAGGUCGCUGGUAUUUGCUGGGAUAACAUUAUCAGAAGGCUCUCUAAAGAGGGUUUGAAUAUUUACAGAAGAAAAAAAAAAGAGGCAGGAGAAAUGAGAACACAGUGAAGAUUUUUUGGUUUCUGACUUGGCAGUCUUCACAACUGAGAACAGCCCGGCCCUCUCCCGUUUCCACGACCUGCCCUGGGCCCUAGCAGCAUGCACAUAUACGCCUCCCUGGUGAUUCCUCCAUGAUCAGGGAGAGAGGCCGGCAUGGAAAUCAAUCCAUUCUUUUCCUCACUCUCACUUCAAUCAUCCACGCAGUCAUCUUUGUACUCACAGGUGUGACACAAUAGGGCACAGACCCGAGCGUGACACAGGUGGUGCCAGCUGCCGAAUCAGGUUUCAUGGUUGUGAAGAGGAAAGUAAAGGCGAUGUUCAGCUCGUCUCCCUGAAGAAUGUCCCCCUGAAUCAGGACGGGAAGUCCUUCCCGUGACUCCACUGAAAGAUAUCAGGCCUGUGUAAGGACAGUGUGUCGGAGCACAGCCACAUGACGGUCCACUCAUUGGCCUACAUCAUACCGUUUAUCCAAGACGGGUUUACACUUACACACCUAGCACGGGGCAUCUCAGAAGAGAACUUAUGAAAUAGACUGAAAUUUAAUGAUAGAUCUUCUUGGGUAGUGGACUAUCAAGGCACUCAUAAGAUAAUAGGGUUGAAAAAAUAAAAAGGUGGGUGGUUUGGCACAGGAGCCCCUUCAGCCUGGUACAGGGAGGGUGCCCGGUUGGUACUGAAUAAAGGGACAGGUCUGGAAGAGGAAGGACGAAGCAAUUCAGCUGCCAUUCUGGAGUUUCUCUUAUAAGACUGCAAACAAGUCUAACAUCAUCAUUAUCAGAAUGUAACACAGAAGGCUUCCAAAAGAGACACUCCCAAGUCCCCCCUUUAUGACCGAGUUUCUCAAGAGGCUCAGUGGAUCUAAAUUUAAACUCCACAGGAAACAGGACCCUUUGCCUCAAGGUACUAAAGGUAACACAUUUCUGUAAGAGGGCCUCUGCUUAGCCUGUCUCCUUUGGUAUCAAGGGUCUUGAAUUCAAAAAGGAUAAAUUAAAAAAAAAAAAAAAAGCAGAGUUCCUUUUGUGUGCCACUCGCUAUUAACAAAGGAGAGAAAUGUGUGAUUGUCGAUGAGAAUUUGACAACUCAUUUUAAUUAAUACCAGUUGAAUUCCCAGAACUAGAGAGUGACCUGGGGUUGGGGGAUGGCAAGGGUGUGCAGGUAGAUAGGGACACCGUUUGUUCAGACCAUCAGAACACACACCAGGAAGACCAGGGGCCUCUCCACCUCAGGGCUACCACUUCCUCAGAGUCCACGGUCCUAAUCCAGCCUAAGCUUGAUCCACACUGUGGCUUUUGAUGAAUUCUCAGCUGUUGGUUUCAUACUGCAUUAAUGUAAGGACUUCGUUUCCUACACACUCACUUGAAACGAGCAAUGUAACUUUUCUUUAUUGUUUACUUGUUUUUUUUGUUUUUGUUUUUUUUGAGAUGGUGCCUAGGUCACCCAGGCUGAUGUCAAAGUCCUGGGUUCGAGUCAUCCUCUGCCUCAGCCUCCAAGCGCAGGGGCUGCAGGAUGCACCAUCAAGCGUGGCUCUUGCUACUGUUUAAAGGAAGAAGCAGUGGCUAGCGGUCCUAUGCAUUUCGUUUUAAAAGGUACUACUU